UACGGAGGGUGCGAGCGUUAAUCGGAAUUACUGGGCGUAAAGCGCGCGUAGGCGGUUUGUUAAGUCGGAUGUGAAAGCCCCGGGCUCAACCUGGGAACUGCACCCGAUACUGGCCGACUUGAGUGCGAGAGAGGGAGGUAGAAUUCCAUGUGUAGCGGUGAAAUGCGUAGAUAUAUGGAGGAAUACCGGUGGCGAAGGCGGCCUCCUGGCUCGACACUGACGCUGAGGUGCGAAAGCGUGGGUAGCAAACGGG
rnacentral:rRNA from 1 species